UCCCUGGUGGUCCAGCAGUUAAGACUCCACAUUUCCAAUGCAGAGGGUGCAGGUUCUAUCCCUGGUCAGGGAA
rnacentral:tRNA from 1 species